AACGAACGCUGGCGGCAUGCCUAACACAUGCAAGUCGAACGAGACCUUCGGGUCUAGUGGCGCACGGGUGCGUAACGCGUGGGAACCUGCCCUUAGGUUCGGAAUAACUCCCCGAAAGGGGUGCUAAUACCGGAUAAUGUCUUCGGACCAAAGAUUUAUCGCCUUUGGAUGGGCCCGCGUUGGAUUAGCUAGUUGGUAGGGUACAAGCCUACCAAGGCGACGAUCCAUAGCUGGUCUGAGAGGAUGAUCAGCCACACUGGGACUGAGACACGGCCCAGACUGCGACGGGAGGGAGCAGUGGGGAAUAUUGGACAAUGGGCGCAAGCCUGAUCCAGCAAUGCCGCGUGAGUGAUGAAGGCCUUAGGGUUGUAAAGCUCUUUUACCCGGGAUGAGAAUGACAGUACCGGGAGAAUAAGCUCCGGCUAACUCCGUG
rnacentral:rRNA from 1 species